GCUUACGGCCAUAUCAGCCUGGGUACGCCCGAUCUCGUCUGAUCUCGGAAGCUAAGCAGGGUCGGGCCGGGUUAGUACUUGGAUGGGAGACCGCCUGGGAAUACCAGGUGCUGUAAGCA
rnacentral:rRNA from 1 species